UGUUAAAAAUUUCAUCUCUUUGUACUGUUAAAAACUAGCGUGGUCGAUCGAAUAACUAGACAAUGACAUAUGGUGUGCAAUGUGUACCUCAUGUUGACGUACAAGAACCAAAUUUUAAUAGUAGAAAUUGAUGGAAUUUUUAAUA
rfam:Gossypium hirsutum cultivar TM-1 chromosome 23, whole genome shotgun sequence